rnacentral:rRNA from 2 species
AGUCGAACGAGCUUCCGUUGAAUGACGUGCUUGCACUGAUUUCAACAAUGAAGCGAGUGGCGAACUGGUGAGUAACACGUGGGAAAUCUGCCCAGAAGCAGGGGAUAACACUUGGAAACAGGUGCUAAUACCGUAUAACAACAAAAUCCGCAUGGAUUUUGUUUGAAAGGUGGCUUCGGCUAUCACUUCUGGAUGAUCCCGCGGCGUAUUAGUUAGUUGGUGAGGUAAAGGCCCACCAAGACGAUGAUACGUAGCCGACCUGAGAGGGUAAUCGGCCACAUUGGGACUGAGACACGGCCCAAACUCCUACGGGAGGCAGCAGUAGGGAAUCUUCCACAAUGGACGAAAGUCUGAUGGAGCAAUGCCGCGUGAGUGAAGAAGGGUUUCGGCUCGUAAAACUCUGUUGUUAAAGAAGAACACCUUUGAGAGUAACUGUUCAAGGGUUGACGGUAUUUAACCAGAAAGCCACGGCUAACUACGUGCCAGCAGCCGCGGUAAUACGUAGGUGGCAAGCGUUGUCCGGAUUUAUUGGGCGUAAAGCGAGCGCAGGCGGUUUUUUAAGUCUGAUGUGAAAGCCUUCGGCUUAACCGGAGAAGUGCAUCGGAAACUGGGAGACUUGAGUGCAGAAGAGGACAGUGGAACUCCAUGUGUAGCGGUGGAAUG